AAUCGGGGCAGGGUGAGUCGACCCCUAAGGCGAGGCCGAAAGGCGUAGUCGAUGGGAAACAGGUUAAUAUUCCUGUACUUGGUGUUACUGCGAAGGGGGGACGGAGAAGGCUAUGUUGGCCGGGCGACGGUUGUCCCGGUUUAAGCGUGUAGGCUGGUUUUCCAGGCAAAUCCGGAAAAUCAAGGCUGAGGCGUGAUGACGAGGCACUACGGUGCUGAAGCAACAAAUGCCCUGCUUCCAGGAAAAGCCUCUAAGCAUCAGGUAACAUCAAAUCGUACCCCAAACCGACACAGGUGGUCAGGUAGAGAAUACCAAGGCGCUUGAGAGAACUCGGGUGAAGGAACUAGGCAAAAUGGUGCCGUAACUUCGGGAGAAGGCACGCUGAUAUGUAGGUGAAGUCCCUUGCGGAUGGAGCUGAAAUCAGUCGAAGAUACCAGCUGGCUGCAACUGUUUAUUAAAAACACAGCACUGUGCAAACACGAAAGUGGACGUAUACGGUGUGACGCCUGCCCGGUGCCGGAAGGUUAAUUGAUGGGGUCAGCGCAAGCGAAGCUCUUGAUCGAAGCCCCGGUAAACGGCGGCCGUAACUAUAACGGUCCUAAGGUAGCGAAAUUCCUUGUCGGGUAAGUUCCGACCUGCACGAAUGGCGUAAUGAUGGCCAGGCUGUCUCCACCCGAGACUCAGUGAAAUUGAACUCGCUGUGAAGAUGCAGUGUACCCGCGGCAAGACGGAAAGACCCCGUGAACCUUUACUAUAGCUUGACACUGAACAUUGAGCCUUGAUGUGUAGGAUAGGUGGGAGGCUUUGAAGUGUGGACGCCAGUCUGCAUGGAGCCGGCCUUGAAAUACCACCCUUUAAUGUUUGAUGUUCUAACGUGGACCCGUGAUCCGGGUUGCGGACAGUGUCUGGUGGGUAGUUUGACUGGGGCGGUCUCCUCCUAAAGAGUAACGGAGGAGCACGAAGGUUGGCUAAUCCUGGUCGGACAUCAGGAGGUUAGUGCAAUGGCAUAAGCCAGCUUGACUGCGAGCGUGACGGCGCGAGCAGGUGCGAAAGCAGGUCAUAGUGAUCCGGUGGUUCUGAAUGGAAGGGCCAUCGCUCAACGGAUAAAAGGUACUCCGGGGAUAACAGGCUGAUACCGCCCAAGAGUUCAUAUCGACGGCGGUGUUUGGCACCUCGAUGUCGGCUCAUCACAUCCUGGGGCUGAAGUAGGUCCCAAGGGUAUGGCUGUUCGCCAUUUAAAGUGGUACGCGAGCUGGGUUUAGAACGUCGUGAGACAGUUCGGUCCCUAUCUGCCGUGGGCGCUGGAGAACUGAGGGGGGCUGCUCCUAGUACGAGAGGACCGGAGUGGACGCAUCACUGGUGUUCGGGUUGUCAUGCCAAUGGCACUGCCCGGUAGCUAAAUGCGGAAGAGAUAAGUGCUGAAAGCAUCUAAGCACGAAACUUGCCCCGAGAUGAGUUCUCCCUGACCCUUUAAGGGUCCUGAAGGAACGUUGAAGACGACGACGUUGAUAGGCCGGGUGUGUAAGCGCAGCGAUGCGUUGAGCUAACCGGUACUAAUGAACCGUGAG
rnacentral:rRNA from 1 species